rnacentral:rRNA from 1 species
AGUGAACGCUGGCGGUAGGCCUAACACAUGCAAGUCGAACGGCAGCACAGUAAGAGCUUGCUCUUACGGGUGGCGAGUGGCGGACGGGUGAGGAAUACAUCGGAAUCUACUUUUUCGUGGGGGAUAACAUAGGGAAACUUACGCUAAUACCGCAUACGACCUACGGGUGAAAGCAGGGGAUCUUCGGACCUUGCGCGAUUGAAUGAGCCGAUGUCGGAUUAGCUAGUUGGCGGGGUAAAGGCCCACCAAGGCGACGAUCCGUAGCUGGUCUGAGAGGAUGAUCAGCCACACUGGAACUGAGACACGGUCCAGACUCCUACGGGAGGCAGCAGUGGGGAAUAUUGGACAAUGGGCGAAAGCCUGAUCCAGCCAUGCCGCGUGAGUGAAGAAGGCCUUCGGGUUGUAAAGCCCUUUUGUUGGGAAAGAAAAGCAGCAGAUUAAUACCCCGCUGUUCUGACGGUACCCAAAGAGUAAGCACCGGCUAACUUCGUG